CCUACGGGAGGCAGCAGUGGGGAAUAUUGCACAAUGGGGGAAACCCUGAUGCAGCGACGCCGCGUGAGUGAAGAAGUAUUUCGGUAUGUAAAGCUCUAUCAGUAGGGAAGAAAAUGAUUGUACGUGACUAAGAAGCUCUGGCUAAUUACGUGCCAGCAGCCGCGGCAAUACGGAGGGGGCCAGCGUUAUCCGGAUUUACCGGGUGUAAAGGGAGCGUAGGCGGACAGACAAGUCAGAAGUGAAAGCCCGGGGCUCAACCCUGAGACUGCAUUUGAAACUGUCGGGCUGGAGUACAGGAGAGGUAAGCGGAAUUCGUGGUGUAGCGGUGAAAUGCGUAGAUAUUAGGAGGAACACCAGUGGCGAAGGCAGCUUACUGGACUGUAACUGACAUUGAGGCUCGAAAGCGUGGGGAGCAAACAGGAUUAGAUACCCCAGUAGUC
rnacentral:rRNA from 1 species